UGAUGGUGAUGCGCUUGUAUC
rnacentral:miRNA from 1 species